UACGAAGGGGGGCUAGCGUUGCUCGGAAUCACUGGGCGUAAAGCGCACGUAGGCGGCUUGUUAAGUCAGGGGUGAAAUCCUGGAGCUCAACUCCAGAACUGCCUUUGAUACUGGCGAGCUUGAGUUCGGGAGAGGUGAGUGGAACUGCGAGUGUAGAGGUGAAAUUCGUAGAUAUUCGCAAGAACACCAGUGGCGAAGGCGGCUCACUGGCCCGGUACUGACGCUGAGGCGCGAAAGCGUGGGGAGCAAACAGG
rnacentral:rRNA from 1 species